GACGAACAUAUUUCCUCUUGUCUCGUCUGACGAAAUUAACACUAGGAUAGAUAGAAGCUAACUUAUGAUUUGUCAUGCAAGACAGAAAAUGUAACGGUUAACAUUACUAGCCUAAGGUGUAGACACUCUAUGCACUGUGGUUUAGCUAGCUAGCUGCUAUUGUUGCAUCAUGGACAACACUUAGAGCUAACAUUAGCUUUUUUUUUUUUUUAGAUAGGAUGUAAUGUGGUAACGUUAUGUGCUGGAGAGUAUUAGAGUGGACGUGUAGAAAUUGAAGACACAAGUACUGUGCUUAAUUUCAUGGAAAUGGUAUUGCAAGUAAUGUGUUUUGUUUUUGUGCACUAUCAAACUACUUUGUCAUGCUUUGUGCACUGACAUUCUUGCAAAACCAUUCACACCCAUGCUAAAUUAUGGAAAUGUAAAAGUUGAAUUGUAUCGAAAAGGACCAUGUAUGGUCAUGUAGUGCAUUUGAGCACUGACACCCCUUUUUUUUAAUUUUAGAGAGGGAGGCAACACUCAAGCUACAUCAAGGACAUGGACCAGAAGACCUGAGACCAAGACGACCCAAGCCCAACCCAUAGUAUGCUUCACUGACAAAUGUUGAUGCUUCAUCAUCACAUAGACUAAAGGUUUCAGAGAAGGCUGGUAGAGCUCUCUAUGAGUGUGAGCUGUGGGAGAUAACCAAGAACUGACAACCACCUAAAGAAGAGGUGGCGAUAAUGGCUCUCCAAGACGAGGAGGCACUUAGAGGGAAUGCCUGGACCCUGAGAGGAUGUAAGACGAUAAUUGAGGCCACCCUGAAGCAGUUCCCAGGCCAGACACUCGCUCCAGAUUGCUGGGCCAGGCAAUAAAUGCCAAAGUGACAGAACUGAGGUUCCA